GCCAGUGUGGAGAAGUGGUUUGAGUGUUGGACUACAAUGCUGAAGAUCAGGGUUCAAUUCCCUGCUUAGCCA